UACGUAGGGUGCGAGCGUUGUCCGGAAUUAUUGGGCGUAAAGGGCUCGUAGGCGGUCUGUCACGUCGGGAGUGAAAACUCGGGGCUUAACCCCGAGCCUGCUUCCGAUACGGGCAGACUAGAGGUAUGCAGGGGAGAACGGAAUUCCUGGUGUAGCGGUGAAAUGCGUAGAGAUCGGUAGGAACACCAGUGGCGAAGGCGGUCUCCUGGGGCAUUCUUGACGCUGAUGCGCGAAAGCUGGGGGAGCGAACGGG
rnacentral:rRNA from 1 species